CCUACCUACCCGGGAGAGCACCCCGAGUCCUCCGUGGGGGGAGGCGCCGACCCCACAGUGGGAUGGCAGCUCCGGUUUCAUCGGACCUAGGCAGAGAAAUCCCUCUGAGUGAGGGGGUCUCAUGGGUGGACCCGGGGACCCCGGGAAGACGGGGACUACAUUUCCCAAGAUGUCGCGCGCGGGGUUUCGUUCCGCGCCAGGAGUAGAGACCCGUGAUUGAGAUCGUCCCUGUCGAUUAGAAGAGGUGUGAAGAAACCAGCCAUAAAAAUAUUUGCACACAGCCAGAAUCCAUUUAAUGAUGUACUGACAGCAGCAAGUUCCAAACUUUUUCCCUGAAGAUUGGUGCACAGCAAUGAUAAAGAAACUAAUGCUGAAGGAAGUUCAAUAAUAUGCUCACGGACACACAAGUGACAUGGCAGAGCUGCGAUUGCCUUCAGUAGUUCAAUUUUAAGUCCUAAGCCUUAAUCAUUCUUUCUGGAUACCCAGUACCUCAUAAUGCAGAAACCAAACCUUGGUAGGAAAAGGAUAAGGUCCCCAGGAAGACAAGACCUGGACCAAGGAAGACUGAGGGGAGAUGGCAACACGCAGAGAAACCACACCUGCAGAAUUACGAGGACUCCAUGAACUCAGCAAAUCUCACAGAAACCCUUUGACCUGGAGGAAAGUGUGCCAAGCUAGGAAAACAGCACUCCUUUUUGAAUGAGGAAUGACAGAGAAAUCUGUUCAUUCAACAUACGUCUCUUGACCACCCACUGUGUACCAGGCAUUGUAGAAGGUCUUAGCAUAUGGUGACCCACAAAACAAGGAUGCUCUUCAGACUGCUCACAGUCUAGCGAGAAGACAGAGAAGUGAUGGAAUAAAUAAUUACAGAUAACGAUCAAUCUUUUGAAGGAAAUGAAGCAAGAUGAACUAACUUUGUUGCUACUUGGUCAUUCUAAUAAUAUUGUACUAUAUUUUUUAAAGGCCCUUUGUGUGGGUUUGGCUGAAAUAUUUCUAACAUCCUCAACACUAAGGAAUGAAGUAUUCCUGAUGCAACUUGC